UACCAGCACCCCGAGUGGUCGGUACGAUUAUUGGGCCUAAAGCAUCCGUAGCCGGUUCUUUAAGUCCUCCGUUAAAUCCACCUGCUUAACAGAUGGGCUGCGGAGGAUACUAUAGAGCUAGGAGGCGGGAGAGGCAAGCGGUACUCAGUGGGUAGGGGUAAAAUCCGUUGAUCCAUUGAAGACCACCAGUGGCGAAGGCGGCUUGCCAGAACGCACUCGACGGUGAGGGAUGAAAGCUGGGGGAGCAAACCGG
rnacentral:rRNA from 1 species